rnacentral:rRNA from 1 species
UACGUAGGUGCGAGCGUUGUCCGGAAUUAUUGGGCGUAAAGAGCUUGUAGGCGGUCUGUCGCGUCUGCUGUGAAAAUCCGGGGCUCAACCCCGGACUUGCAGUGGGUACGGGCAGACUAGAGUGUGGUAGGGGAGACUGGAAUUCCUGGUGUAGCGGUGAAAUGCGCAGAUAUCAGGAGGAACACCGAUGGCGAAGGCAGGUCUCUGGGCCACUACUGACGCUGAAGCGCGAAAGCUGGGGGGAGCGAACGGG